rnacentral:rRNA from 1 species
CGAACGCUGGCGGUGCGCCUUAUGCAUGCAAGUCGAGCGAAGCUUUUCAGUAGUUUACUACAGAAAAUGACUGAGCGGCGAACGGGUGAGUAACGCGUGAGCAACCUACCUUAGUUACUGGGAUAGCCCGAGGAAACUCGGAUUAAUACCGGAUAUUCUUAUUUAAUCACAUGAUUUUUUAAGGAAAGGUCAGCCGAACUGAGAUGGGCUCGCGUUCUAUCAGCUAGUUGGUAGGGUAAUGGCCUACCAAGGCUACGACGGAUAGCUGGUCUGAGAGGACGAUCAGCCACACUGGGACUGAGACACGGCCCAGACUCCUACGGGAGGCUGCAGCAGGGAAUAUUGCGCAAUGAGCGAAAGCUUGACGCAGCGACACCGCGUGUGGGAUGACGGAUCUAGGUUUGUAAACCACUUUCAGGAGGGAAGAAAAUGACGGUACCUCCACAAGAAGCCCCGGCCAACUACG